GCUUCUCCUCAGCUCUGGAUCUGUGAGGUCAGGACAGGUGUGUGAGGAUCGAUCCCUGCCCGAGCUCUUGGUAGCAAAGGUGGAGAGGGAAGUUCACGACGACUGGGGAGAAGCAAACCGGGACUGAAAGCAUGAAGAGGCAGAAAUCACCAGAAUAAAAGGCAGAGAAUCAGAGCUGAAGGGCACCGGCGGAGCUGUUUGUGGGGGAGAGCCGCGGCUUGGAGCAGACUUUUAUGAAAAUGAUCUCAUUAGGAACAUGGAACUCCUGUUUCUGAGAAAGGUUUCUUGAGGACGGCAAUCCACAAAGGAAUUCCUUUAUUGGGCACUCUCCUGUCUCCUAUGGAUGAAUCCUGGAGCAACAUAAAAUAUUCUUCACAACAUUUAUUUCAACGGUGUUUCUAAAUAAAGCUGGGCUGAAACUACAUGAGAUUUAGUUGUUGGGUGUUUGGGGUAGGGAGGGUUUUUUUUUUUCCUUUUGUCUUUAAAGAAGACAUGUUCCAGCUGUCUGGAAGGAAAGAGCUAGAAAGGA